CUUUUUUUUUUUUUUUCAUUUUUAAUUAGAAAUGAAGAGCUUCUUAACUAGGCAGACCAAUAGCAAAAUAAAAAGUUAAUCAUGGCAUAACCUCACAUCUAGUUCUUACUUGGAGCGGGAAGAGAGACUGUUAAACACUGACAGGGACUGUACAAAAACUUCCCCUUAAUCUAAGUCCUAGUUAUUCCUUUAUGUCCUAGCAUUUUAGGUACUUAACUGAGAUGUACACUGAUAUUGGAAACCAGGACGCUUAAUAAUAUCUGUUCCCAGUUCUCUGGACUGCCAUACUUUGGCUUUAGGUAGAUUGAUACAUCUUGCUGAUGCAUAAUUUUAGGUUGGUAAUACUCUUAAUGCUUGAUAGAAUGGAUAACAAAUAAUUCUUUUUUUUUUUUUUUUUUAAAUCUUCCACCCCCCAAAAUAGUGAACUUCUUUACAAAGUAAAACAGGGGUACUAUGCAGGGAUUGUAAUUCUUCAUUCUAAUCAUGUAAACCAUAAUGAGAUUUUGAAAGCUUGAUUGUUGGAGGUUAUUAGAAAAACAUGCAAUACUGUGUACAAAAGUAGCCUAGAGCUAAAUUGAAACUUCAGUAAAAGCUUUCAAGCUCCAAGUGCCAAUACAUGUAGUUUUAUAGAGAAAUAAUGAAUAACAUCACACUAAAUAUAAUUUUUUUUUUUUUUUUAACAAACACUUUUUUGUUUGUUUUAAAGUUAUUGGUAGGAAUAUCUUACUAGUUUUUUAAAUAACUGCUACCUCAUAUCAGUCUGAGUUUAAAAGUUGUCUGAAAUACUAUUUCAAAAUUGAAAUCAGUAUUAUGUGAUUGUAAAACAUACCAUUGUAUCACUGAUAUUCACUUUUUGUCAAAGUUGAAGAAGCAAUCUCUUUUUUGACUUAUUUUGGAUUGCAUAGAGUAAGUGUCAUCUGGAUGGAUGCAUGAAAAUACAAAUUCCUCCAUCCUAUGAGUAGCAGUAGAACUUGUGCUUAAACCUCGGCGUUUUAGGAAGCUGUCCACCAAUUUCUUCUUCUUUGUGAAUAUAGACAACAUGUAACUGCUCAUUCAAGUUGGCUUUCUGUGUGUUUAUACAGUCUAUCACCUUUUUCUGUCACGCACCUACCCUGCUAUUUUAUUAUUCUAUAUUUUAGCUAAUAUUCUAUAUUAGUAGUUUUCCAUCAUUAUGUCUGUUGUACCACAUUCUUCUGCAUCUCUGCUAUACCUGGUC
rnacentral:lncRNA from 1 species